rnacentral:rRNA from 1 species
AACGCGAAGAACCUUACCUGGGUUUGACAUGCACAGGACGACUGCAGAGAUGUGGUUUCCCUUGUGGCCUGUGUGCAGGUGGUGCAUGGCUGUCGUCAGCUCGUGUCGUGAGAUGUUGGGUUAAGUCCCGCAACGAGCGCAACCCUUGUCUCAUGUUGCCAGCACGUUAUGGUGGGGACUCGUGAGAGACUGCCGGGGUCAACUCGGAGGAAGGUGGGGAUGACGUCAAGUCAUCAUGCCCCUUAUGUCCAGGGCUUCACACAUGCUACAAUGGCCGGUACAAAGGGCUGCGAUGCCGUGAGGUGGAGCGAAUCCUUGUUAAAGCCGGUCUCAGUUCGGAUCGGGGUCUGCAACUCGACCCCGUGAAGUCGGAGUCGCUAGUAAUCGCAGAUCAGCAACGCUGCGGUGAAUACGUUCCCGGGUCUUGUACACACCG